CGAACGGGUGCGUAACACGUGAGCAACCUACCGAAAUGAGGGGGGAUAGCCGUCCCAACGGACGGGUAAUACCGCAUAAGCUCUUGUCCAGGCAUUUGGAUUAGAGGAAACCUCCGGGGCGUUUCGAGGGGCUCGCGGCCUAUCAGCUAGUUGGUGAGGUAACGGCUCACCAAGGCGACGACGGGUAGCUGGUCUGAGAGGAUGGCCAGCCACAUUGGGACUGAGAUACGGCCCAG
rnacentral:rRNA from 1 species